rnacentral:rRNA from 1 species
UACGUAGGGUCCGAGCGUUGUCCGGAAUUAUUGGGCGUAAAGGGCUCGUAGGCGGUCCGUCACGUCGGGAGUGAAAACUCAGGGCUCAACCCUGAACGUGCUUCCGAUACGGGCGGACUAGAGGUAUGCAGGGGAGAACGGAAUUCCUGGUGUAGCGGUGGAAUGCGCAGAUAUCAGGAGGAACACCGGUGGCGAAGGCGGUUCUCUGGGACGGUACUGACGCUGAGACGCGAAAGCGUGGGGAGCGAACAGG